rnacentral:rRNA from 1 species
UGGGGAAUCUUGCACAAUGGGCGAAAGCCUGAUGCAGCGACGCCGCGUGGGGGAUGAAGCUUCUCGGAGUGUAAACCCCUUUCGACCCGGACGAAUGCCCCGCAAGGGGACUGACGGUACGGGUAUAAGAAGCCCCGGCUAACUACGUGCCAGCAGCCGCGGUAAGACGUAGGGGGCCAGCGUUGCUCGGAAUUACUGGGUGUAAAGGGUUCGUAGGCGGUGUGGCAAGUCGGGAGUGAAAUCUCUAGGCUCAACCUAGAGUCUGCUUCCGAAACUGCUGUGCUUGAGUGUGGGAGAGGCGCGUGGAAUUGCAGGUGUAGCGGUGAAAUGCGUAGAUAUCUGCAGGAACACCCGUGGCGAAAGCGGCGCGCUGGACCACUACUGACGCUGAGGAACGAAAGCUAGGGGAGCAAAC